CCCAGCUGGUACCCUGGCAGGAUCAGAUCUAGGAAACUAGCGUGAGCUCUUCAUUCGUGACCUGUAAGCAAAUAAUUAUCAGCCUUGAUCCCGGACUGCGCCUGCCCAGAGGCUCCCCUUUGGCUCCACUUAGCUUCCAAGUGACUUCCUAGAGCAGAACUUCUUUACCUCCCUCUCCCUCCUCUGUCUCCUUCUAUCGGAGCGCCAGAGUAAAGCCAGGAAUGUCCGCUGUUUCCAGCUCUACUCAGCCACGUGUGGAAUUUCACAUUCAGUUAUGAGCACCACAGUCUAGAUGGACAUGGAUAAACUUAGAAACGUCCAGAGGAUGGUAAUCAAGUUGAAGAAGGGUCCUGAGCCCACAUCAGAUGAGAAUCAAUAGAAGGAACUUGGGAGAUUUAUCCUGGACAAAACUCAAGGGGGACAUGCCUUCAAGUAUUUGAAGAGCUGAGUACUGGAACAAGGAUUAGCUUUGUUUAGCUUGGCGCCAAAGGAUACAAUAAGGAGCAACAGAUGGGAGUUGUGGAAAGUCACAUUUAGGCUCAGUGUUAAAGAGGAGUCAGCCUAGAGUGAACUAGGCCAUCUUCCAUCUCCCUCCUUCCCCAAAGGUUGGGAAUUAAAGGGAUAAACAAUCAUGUGUUUUCAACAGUGUAGAGGGAAUUUUUGUUCAGAUAUAGGCUGCAGUUCCUUUUCAGCUCGGAGAUUCUGUGAUUUAUAUUCUCUCUCCUUCUAUAUUUAUGUCCAAAUUCAAGAUAUUGUUGUAGAAAAAAAUGUCAGAAAGUAUCCAAAUCCAGUAAAGGAGUCAAAUUUUUUCCCUUCCCUUCCCUUCCCUUUCCUUCCCUUCUCAUCUCUCUUUUCCCCCUCUUCUUUCUCUCCUAUCUUCUUUUUCUCUUCUCAUCUCAUUUCAACUUGUUUCAUCAUUUCAUCUAGUCAUCCUGCUCAUCAUCUCAUCUCAUUUUUUUUUAUUUGAUCUUUUCUCAUCACUUCUCAUCUUGUCGCAUUUUAAUCUAACAUCUCCCAGGGUGAGAACUGAUAUUAACUUUUAACUUCUAGCUCACUGAAAACCCUGCUGUAUGAAGCUCUCUGGUGCAAUCACACUUGAAACUGAAGAACUCUUUAUCUUGGGCCAAAUUUAUGGCCCAUCUUCAGAUAUGGGGCCUACUAAAACUGAGGGGAAGGCCCACCCAAGUGACUCCAAACGUUUACCUCUUUAGAAUAGUAUGUACCUAAUGAAAAGAGGAAACUUGUGGAUGUCUUUGAAUGAGAUUAUAUAAAUAGUAAUGAACUUAAUUUAUUCUUCUGGCUUGCCAGAAACCUAUUGAAUAAAAAUAUGCAAAGGCAUGGUUGACCCCAGACUCUUCUGCUUGGGGAAACCAAUUGGGAAUCAAGGUUCCUUCUUGAGAGCAGAUGUGGAACUCCAAGCUCACCAGCAGUGCACCCCCAUCGAGAAGAGACCAACAAGUAUGGCUCUGUCAGGGAAUCAUCAUUGGCUUUUUGGAAAGCUAGAAGUUAAUUCAUUCAGCAUUUAAUAAGCAGGGCUUGAGGAAAAUGGGCUCUGGGCUAGGGAGAGUGGGUUUUAAUUUUUCUCUUAAUUUUAUUUUUUAAUUAUUAAAAUUUCUUUUUUUCUCCCUUACUGUGUUACCCAUUCAAAUAAAACCUUUAUCAUUUAUAUGCCUGGUCAAGCAAAGCAAAUGUCCUCAUCGGCCCUGGAAAAAUGGAUGUCUCAUCCUGCAUCUUGAAUCCAUCCCCUCAUUGUCACUCCUCUGGAAUCCCAGGUGGCCAUACCACUGAUGAGAGACUGUAAGUCUUUCAGUGAUUUGUCUUUACAAUAUUAUCAUUGUAUAAAUCGUUUUCCAAGUUUUACUGCUUUUCCUCUACAUUAGUUCAUACGAGUCUUCCUAAAUUUCACUGAAACCAUUAUUCUUUAUCAUUUCUUAUGUUAUAAUACAUUCAUAUGCCAUGAUUUGUUCAGCCACGUCUCAAUUUAUGAGCACUCUUUCAGUCUUAUUCUUUCCUGCUGUGACAUGCUGUAAACCGUAUUAAUGCUCCAUCUCCUUUGGUUUUUGGAAUCAUUUCAUAGUUUCUUUGGGGAGAUGUCUAUACAAGGGCUAAGCUGUUUUUUCAGCUAUAUUUUAACACAGGAUGUCAGUGUCGAAAAGGGGCUUACCAGUUCCACAGCAUCUCGAACUGGGAUAUUAAAUGAUUUGCCCAAUUAUCACCUAAUUAGUAAGUGUCAGAACUUGAACCCAGGUCUUUCUGGCUCUGAGAUUGGCUCGCAGCACCUCCUUUUAUAUUGUAUUAUGGUAUUUCAUUACCUUCAUUUGCCACAAUUUGUUUAAUCAUGACCUUACUGUUGGACACUUGGAAGGUUUUUGGGGUGAUUAUAUGGAUCUUUAAGCAAGAGCUUUUUUAAAAAAUAAAUUAUUGGGUCAAAAGAAAAUAUUCUACAAGUUUUCAAGUGCACUAAUUAAGGUACCUGUUUUUCUCCAACCCUGCCACCAUUAAGGUGUGAAGUGGGACCUCAGUCUUUUCUCGAUUUGUAUCCCUUUGGUGAUUAGUGAGUUUGAGAAUUUUAAAAACUCGUUAACAACGGCAUGUGCUUCCUUUUUUGGAAACUGUUUGGGGCCUUUCCCCAUUUCCCCAUAUGGACUUAACUGCAGAUCCAGGGCUCUCUCUAUUUGUGUCCCUCUGGUCCUCCUAAUGACCCAGCAGCUCUGGCUACCAUCCAUGUGGGAUCCAGCCAUGCUUCUUUUCUGUCCUUUUCUUGAUUAAAUCCAUGGCCCCCAUCUAAAGAUCUGAAUGCUUGCCUGGCCAUCCCCUUUGCACAUGUUCAGAACAUCUCAAGAACACUCUCUGUCUGAACGGUUUGGGGUCCUUGCCAAAGACCAUGAGGUGGAUGGGAUCCGGGAGUGCCCUUGGGCUGUUUCAGAGCAAAGACUUGCAGGGCUCCUCCCCGAACGCCCAAGAUUGGAAACAGCCAUCUCCUCUCCAAACCUCGAUUUUGACCAGGCCCGGACCUGGGCCCCACAUGGAAGCCUGCAAGUUGACCAUAAAGAACAGAUGGACGCCCCCUUGGAUUCCAGCCUGCAAGCAAUUAGUGAAGCUCUAGGAAGCCCUAGGAGCCACAGCACAAAAGAAGGGGAGAAACGUGUCUCCAAUGGACCCCAUUUCUGCCACAGGUCGGGCCUGGGGGAGCAACUUCUCCCCAGCCACUGAGGAGGGGGGAAACAGGGUCCUGUCUGUGUGUGCUUUCUCCCAACUGCUGUGUUUUUAUGACAGUGCGAUCAUCCCAGGGGAAAACUCAGGGUUUGAAUUGAAAUGUUGUUGAAAGCCAUUCAGCUGAGGGUUUAAAGAAACUUUUGUUCAUGGAAAUCACUCUGCUGAUCUCCAUAGAGCUUUCCUUCCCUUUCCCUUCCAGACCAGAACCAGAGUGAAAUCGAAUCUCAGGAGAUGAAUUGUUUCGCUCUUUUGAAGGAACCCGGAUAACUGGGCAUCAUCUGGAAGCUGCCCAGCCCAGGGUUAAGUUUCCCUCGGCUUGAACAAUGCCGUUCUCUGUUCCGGCUUCAUAAAUCAUAAAAGAAAGUACUUGUCAUGGCAGGUUCUAGAGGAGUUUUCAGGCUUGCAGGAAACAAACCCAAUUUGCCAUUGAGAUUCCUGGAAACAGCUGAAUACCGUUGGUGGUUAAGAAAGAGGAGCAUCUUUGGGGAGCAGUAUUCCUGCCUCACGGGAGUCUGGGAAGGGGCCAUGACCCAGCUGGAAUGGGACUACAUCAGGGGAGGACUGGAAGUCAGGCAGGACCAACAGAUUAUGCCAUGGAUUCAUAACAAGGGGGGGGGGGAAGUUUCAAGGAGGACAGGCUGGAGGAGAAAGGGAGGAAAGGAAAGCUAGAGAAUGCGCUCAAGGAGGAAAGGCUGAGAAUCAAAGGAGAAAAAGAAGGGAGAAAAGCUGAGGCUUAGAGAAACAGAGAAGGAAGAUGAAGAAGAAAGGAAAAGGGAUGGGACCCAAGGAGGAGAAUGAGGAGUAGCAAUGGUUAGAGAGAGGGGAGGAUGCCCCAGAGGAAACCGUUCCCAUGAAUCCCCAAGUUACCAUGACAGUUUCCCUGCCAGAUAGACCCAAAUGGGACCUGGAGUCUCUCUUUGUAUUUGAGACAUUUUCACCAAGAAUAUUUUCUUUUCUGGGUCCUUGGCAAGAUGGAAGAGAUGAUUUUCAUGGCAAUGAUGCAGGACUAAUUCUUAAUAGCUCCACGAUGUUUUCCAUUUUCAGGAUGCUUGAUUGCAACAAGCAGUCCUUGCUGAGAGAGGACUCUAUUCGCCAUUAGUUUGGGAAGGGGAAACUCCACCUAUAGGGAGUUGAUCGGAGUGGCCCCCAAAAGAGUGCAUGGACAGGCUGGUCAUGGCACCUUGGAGAGCACCGCGUGCCAGUUGCCAUGGAGUGGCCCCAGUUUCAGCUGGUUCGUGGCCCCAGGUUACUUGGAAAUUAUUGCCCUGUUUCCUAGAACUCCCAAACGGAGGGGACAAUUUGUAGUCCAGUAAUCAUUUAUUAAGUACCUUCUGUGUCCGAUACCAUACUAGGUUGUAGAGACACAAAAGCACAACUAAAAACUGUACCUGACCUCGGAGAACUUACACUCCAGGGACCUAUCCGGCCAUCCCUAAGUCUCCUUGACUUUAUCACUCAAAUGAAACUACUCUCUAGUUUCUCCAUGGCUCUGUCCUUCGCCUCCUGGCUGCAUCGGAGGCUGUCAGCUGCCUUCUCCUCCUGGCUGCCUCCUCCUCUUUUCUCUGAAUUUUCAUGCUGCCAUUUUUCCGGGCUCUCUGCCCUCUCUUCCUCCCUCAUUCUUGGUCUCCUUUGAUGACUUGUCGCCCGUAUCACACCCCCUGUUUGUGGGUGAGCCUCAAGGCUCUGUCCUGGGUUUUCUCCUCUCUCUUCAUCCUCAUUUGGUGAUGGUGGCUCUUUUCCUGGACUUAGCGAUCAUCUUUUCCCAGACGUUAUGAAGCGACCAAAAACCAGUAGACAAUUAUUUAAUACCUACUAUGUGCUAGGUGCUGGAGGCCAAAUACAAAGCAGGAGUAAUUCUGCUUAAGGAGUUUGCCUUCUCUUGACUUGCUUUUUGCUCCCAGAACAGAAGGUAGAAAGCCCUGGUCUGAGGAAGCAGAAGGAAAGUUGGUUCACAUAUGGUAGAAUGGACGGCAUCUCGCUCAUGGUGGAUGGCUGGGGACACCAUUUGGGCCAAGAUCCAGCGGACUGAGCGUUCCCUCACUCGUCAGUCAGGACUGCUCGUACAUGGGGCAGAAUUCUAGAGCUGACUGGAUUGGGUGGGGGAGGGAUGGGAAAGUGGGCGAGCUGUCUAGGACCCUUAGUGCAUCAGGUCCUGAAGGAUGGAGAGGAUUUGGACAUUUGCCAUUUAAUAUUAUUUAAUCCGAGCAAAUACAGAUGUUUUGGCUACAAUUGAGCUAAGAGAAAAGACGGUGCCAUAUCCUCACAAAGCAGGAAACCAUGUAAGGAGCUCUGGAUUUGAUGUCAAUGGACCUGGGAUCAAAUCCCGCCUCUGAUUCUUCCCACCUGUGUCACCAUGGCUGAGUCAUUUAAUUUUCCAGCUCUAAAUCUAUAAUCACUUGCUUUUUCUGAGCCUCAGUUUUCUUUUCUGUAAAGUGGGAGUAAGAUUCAUUGCAAAACUUGUUGCCAGGGAUAAUGUAAGGCUUAUGGUUAUAAAGUCCUUUCAGGCCCUUAAAGGCUCUAGAGAUGUGAGAGAUGAGCCUUACUCCUGGGCUCCCAACGGUGGGCAGGGCUGGAGAGCAACAGAGGGAUGGAGGCAGGGCAGUCUCCCAGUGAGGUGCACGCCGGCUGCUGGGACUUCUUUCAGGCUAGAAUGUUGGUGACUCCAUUUAGCAUUUGUUUCUGAUUUGGGAACUUUAAUAAGUCUGGAAACAUCUGUGUUAGAUACUUGAGGACAGAUUUGCAGCCUCUGGGAGACUCUGGGAAGGCUCCAGCCCAGCUCCUUGGGGGGUGCAGAGCCUGUGCAUCUGGCCCUGGCUCUCAGAUGGAGAGAUUUCCAUGGUGGGGAUGGAAUAGGGCCUAGUCAGGAAGCCUGAUGUACAUGCAAAGCAGCCUUCAUGGGAGCUGCCCUGGGGGAGGGCAUGGGGAGGACUGAGCCUGAGCCCGUUGGGAUUGUAGGUAAUGAGACGUUCCUUCUUUAAAACUCCAAGAAGGAAGUAUGGAAACAUGGAUAUAUCUCUCUGCCUCUCUCCUUCCCCCUCCCUCUCCCUCCCUUCUUCCCUCUUUCAUCUCUUUGUGUCUGUCUCUUCCUUCCCCCCUCUCUCCCUUACUCUUUUUUCUCUUUUCAUUCCUUAUUUUCUCUUCUAUCUCUUCUUUUCUUUUUUCUCCUCCUCUUCUUCCUCCUCUCUUUCUUUCCUUCUUCCUUUCUUUCUCCUCCUUCUCCUUCUUGUCUUCUUCCUACUUCUCCUCUUUCUCUUCUUCUUCAUCUUAUUUUCUUCUUCUCCCCAUCCCUCUUCCUCCUUCCCUCUCCUGCUCUUCCUCCUUCUUCUUUUCUUUCUCUCUCUCCUCUCUCACUCUGUCUGCCUCUUUCUCUCUGUGUCUCUCUCCUAGGACAUAGAGUCCAUCUUAGCAUCAGUCACUCUGAAAAUAAAACUGAGAAAUGCCAUCCCCCCUUUCCCCGCUGAUCAGCUGGGAUGGACUUGGCUCUUCUCAUCAACGCAGAGAUUCAAGGCAAUUCUGAUAUUCCUGGGCUGGAAAACGCCAUCCGUAUCCAGAGAGAACAAUGGAGCCUGAAUGGGGAUCAAAGCCGAGUAUGUUCUUCACCUCUUUUUGUUUGCUUUUUCUUUCUUGUGUUUGUUUCCCUUUCGGGGCUUUUUCUUGCACCACAUGGCAAACAUGGAGAUAUGGUUACAGGAAUUGCACAUAUUUAGCCUGUAGUUGCAGUCUUGAGGAGGAGGGAGAAAAAUUUGGAACAAAAAGUCUUCCAAAAAGGAAGGUUGAAAACUAUCCUUACAUGUAUUAGAAAAAUAAAAUACUAGUGAGCAAAAGUAUUUUCUGACUGAAUCUCGGUCAAGCUGGUUUCUGCUUUAAUUCUGGGUAUUUUAUUUUCUGCAUUGGAGCCAUUUGGAGGAGGGGCCCACAGCCUUCACCGAGGGGUCCAUGCUACAAAAAGCUAUUUCAGGCUCCUUCCCAGCUCUAAAUCUUCCAUCUCGUUUGGCCAUCGAAGCCCCACAGAUUCCUGCACCAAGUCGGUGCAAAGAUCAGACCAGGACUUUGGGACUCUGGGCUGGCUGGGGCUCUCUCCUCGGCCUCCUUCCCUUCCCCCAGACUUCUUGGCGGCUGGAACUGAAGUUCCAGGUGUAGACGAGACCGAGAGGAUGGCUCUAGAGCAACAGCGUCCGCAGAUGCCCCCGUGCCCCUUUGCGGUGGGGCGAGCACCCGUCCUGAGCGGCCGCUUCUCUGCAGGUCCAUCCGGACCCACAGGCAGAACCUCCCGGCCUAGGACUAUCAUGAGGAGGGUCUGUGUUUUCCCGGCAGGAGCUCUCCUCCUGAUGCAUUUGAUCUGGGAGUAGGAGUCUGCUCCCCAAAUGGCCAGCACAUGUCAAGUCUGGCCGUCCUCUGGGGUACAGGAAGGGGCCCCUCUGGAGUUAACCACAGCAAAGAGCGCCUCUUUUCAAGUGACUUUCAGAAGUUCCUUUGUCCUGCAGGAGACUUCCUGGGAGGGGUUCUGGGGCCGACGAUGGAGGAUGCCGCAGCAGCCAG
rnacentral:lncRNA from 1 species